GGGAAUAUCAGGUCCCAGACAAUCUUGCCACUGAUUCCUAAAUUUUCUGGGCAACCUGGGGGGUCAAGGUGGCUAUCCGUUCCCUCGUACACCUUCCAGGUGUAUAAGCCUCUGCAAACCUGGCAGCGAAGUGGGUAAUCAGGGGGCCGAUUUUAUACAUCCUGUCAAACUGGGGGCUGUUGUUGCUGAAGUGCAUUAAAAUGUAGAAUCAUUUCAUACCUCUUCCUCGACAUACAUUGGGAGUAAAUGGGGGUAGAGCAGAUGGGACUACUGCUCCAGUAUGAGCGGAUGGAGGGCUUCUUUAUGAUGCCCAUCAGCAUAGUCAAUGCCCAGAAUUUUUUUUAAUUCUGGCACAUCGAUGGGAGCCCAUUGCUGCUUUGCCAAAAAAGAGUCAGGCUUAGCAGCACGGAACUAAUGGGCAUAUAAAUUAGUUUGGGCGACAAUGUUCCCCAAUACAUCAUCGCCCAGAAAUACCUCCAUAAACUGUUGGGGGCUAAAUCCUGCGACAUCCACAUUGAUGCCAGGAUUUGCAGUGAAUGGUGGGAUAUCUUUAUUCUUGAGAUGAGGCGCUACCCACUCCUCAGCAGCACUGCCAGCUGGAGCAGCAGGUCUCCUUCUGACAGGGGGACUAGCAGCCACAGAUACAUCACUAGAUACAUCACUAGAAGCAGACACUGUAU